UGCGGAUAUGAUAUAAACUUCAGUGUCACUACAUUUACAAUUCAUAUGAUAAACAAUAAUGGCCCAUAGCUCGUACAUGUACAAUAUGAAUGUUAGAAGGUCCACCACACUUUCCCGCUCCAUCCUUGCUACAGCUAAGAGAGAGAAUAGGCAUACAAUGUGUUAUCCUUGCAAUAUGAGAAGCAAAGUACAGAGCCACAACGGUAUUUCAAGUAAGCAUAAGAGAGAGAAUAUAUUGCAUUACUUCUAUAAGGAAUAUAAUGGUUCCAAUGAAUUGGUAUCCAGGUUUGACUACUUUUAUAAGAAACUUAUUUCCUGUAGUGUGUUGACACUUGAAGAAACAUGUUUCAUGUAAUCUAGACACUUGAAGAAGGCAACUGUAUAUGAAGCUCUGCAAUUCCCUCAUUGGUCCUGACAUAUUGGAUCCUUCGCCAUGCAUCCUGGGUUCAGGGGCUCAUUCUUUCCAAGAAAUUACAAAAAUCUUCUUGCUUCAGUUGCUUGUUACCUGUCAUACAACGUGUCAUCUCAUUCCAAAAUAUACUGAAGGCCUAAUAGACAUGGUUUGCAUGAGUUUAUCCAUUGCUUGCAUCUGUAUGUACAUACUGACAUGGAGUAACUCCUCUCUCAGUGAAUUUCAGAAAAGGGUCAUUUGGCGAUGACUCAUGUGAGCUGUGUUCAAGCCAGUUGACCAAUGCUGCAGCUAAAUCAUGUUUGGAGAAAGUAACCAUGAUGAUAUAUAGGUUAGAAACAAAAUAGAAGCCAAUUUUUAAGAUAAAACAUGGUAAACAUGAUAAACAUGGUAUUAGCACAACUGGAGCAAAGAUCACAACAUGGAAAAAUGAUCAUCAUUAUAGAUAAAAAAUAGGAUGGGUGAAUAAAAUAAUUAUUUCUCCUCAAUUUGACAUAGCAGAGCACGAGUACACCCAAAUAGAUACAUAAUUUUCCUGCUUUCCAUACUACCUAGAUAAUUAGAAUUGCUUGAAGGCAAAGUCUGUAAGAAAGGAAUAUGUAGAAAUUAGAAAACCAACAUAAAGUAAUCUGACAUUGUUCUAACCUUACGAAUUGAGGUGCAUUAGUAAGAAAAGUGAAACUUCUUACCCUGUUGCUUGCACAAGUAGCAGGCUUUCCUAGGUUUGAAUCACUCCAAGAAAUCAAUGGGUAAAUUGCGGCAGCUGCUUUGUUAUGCUAAUUGUGCGGAAGUACGAAGUGGUUAAGACAUCGACAUAGGGACGGAUUGCAUCACAAAUUCGACAACCAACAACGACAGGAGCACAUCUCUGAAGAAAGCACAAAUCCACAAUGUGAUCUCUACUCUCUGAUAGCCGGUGG
rnacentral:lncRNA from 1 species